UCACCAAUACAGCUCAUUUAUUGGUGACGUCUACCAGCAUCGAAGAGACGGACGCCGGCCCGUGCGGUAGGUGUGCCUGGCGGCGGCGGCGGCGGCGUGCGGUCACCCUCUCCAUGGCCGGCAGCCUAACGUUGCGCGCAGUCAGCAGCUUUGACGUCUGUGCUGGCAGUGCUCACGUCCGUGCCCCUCCCCCUCCGAUGGCGGCGACGUCGGGCUCCCACCACCAUGGAUGGCCCUGUUGGCACGCGGCCUGACCUGCGGGCACGGCAGCCCUGCCCUGCUCCUUCGCCGAUCCGCAGCGGUGCGAUGUCGCUCCCCCAUCUACGCGUCCGACCCACGAGCAUGGUGAUCUGUGGCCUGUGGGCGGUAGCCCCUGGUGUCAUGCCGCUUCCCAUCUGGCCAUCCCGCGGUGUCCUCAAUGCCUAUAGCCUGCUGAUCCAGGUAUGUUGGUUAUUGAUUCGCAAGGGAUUCUGAUCUGUUAGUUUAGUUGUUGAUUUGCAGGGGAUGGUGGUGGAUCCAUGUUGGAUAUAUUGUAUCCAUGUUGAAGCUCGUGGAUUCAGGGAAAUUUUUUUCUCCAUCUGGCAUCUGCAUUUCAACGUGUUCUUCACGGCUGUCCUGCAAGUUUUCUACUCCGUAUUUUGCAAGUUUGCACGACCUUCUGAAUUUUAUGGAGCCACUGGACAUGAAUGGAAUGCUACUUCUACAACCAACAGCAAGACCGACCUCUAUGGCGUAACACAACAGACAAAAGAGCACUUCGCACACAUUUUGUUUGUUGUCAUCAUGUAUGCACAUAGUAUGUACACAUACUCUUAUGAAACUGUAGCGAGUAUAUGUACAUACCUGCUUGCAGAGUACUGAGAUAUAUGGUUCAUAAUUCCUGCUUGCAAAGUACAGAGUAUACUCAUACAAAAUAGUAUAUACACAUACUCUGGUGUCGAGAAAACUAUGUACAUGUACUUGAGUAUAUGUAAAUACUCCUCGAGAUAGUACGCAUA